ensembl:lncRNA
UUUUAAAGGUACAAUACAGUGAAAUGAGAUUACAUGGUGAAAUCACUGUUUUCUACUUUUUGAAGGAAAUCUUAGUUUUUCCUAAGCAACUGCACAUCUAUACCUAUACAGUCACCACUGCCUAUUUUUCCUCCUGGAAAGAAAAAAAAAAGAUAAGCAAAAAAAUUAAGAGAAAACUCAUUGGUAGCAAACAUUUCUGCAAUGUUAUGUCUACGCUGUAUAAAACAGAAAUAAAUACGUAUCCUCAGUGAAUAGGCAGUUAAUCACCAGAAAUCUAGUAGAGGUUUGGGCGUUGCAUUUCUGUUUUUGAACAUUUUGGAAGUUUGAGAUGACAGUGACAGAUGGAAGCACAGUUCUUGGCAAGUGGUUGGAGCUCUAGGUGGGGUAGGUGACAGGGGCAAGUGAACAUGCUAGAGAGGGAGUGGAGGUGAAUCUCUUCCAGAUUUGUCUUUGCUGAAACAAAAAUCUGUCUUGAGAAGAAUUUCAAAAGAUGCAAUUUGGAUACCAGAGGUCAGAAGGGCAUACAGAAAGCCAGAGCUGCCACUCCACCCCCUGACUUCUCUUGCAAGAUGAAUAUGUGCUCAGUGAGAUCUCUGCUGGUGCAAACCGUUGUACUCCAGGAACAUACAUGAGAAGACACACUCCUCUGACCUCCCUUGAGUCUGCUGAAUUCACACAACUUUUCUGGAAACAAACAUUUUUGAAUUAAAGCCCUGCUUAAGAAAUUACGCUGAUUGAGAUGUUCACAGUGCCCUCCUUGUCAAUAUCCUCCUUUAAGUCUUUACUUGGAACACAGGUGGAAAUAAAAGUAGAUGAAUACAAGUGACAGAAAAAUAAAGACUUGGUAGGACUGAAACACAGACUGAGCAGCUGAAACCAGUGGUCCCACAUACACUGGAAAAGGUGUGUUUCACACACUAUUAGCUGAAACCACCUGUAGCCAUCUUGAGUAUGCAAUCACACCAAGUCUUCGUGUAACAGAGCUCUCAGAAUAGCUGCUGCAGAGAGACUGAAGAAUCAUUGGAAGAGUAAGAAUCUUUCAGAACACGGGCAUCUGGCAAGAAAAGUAUUUACAACAGCAUUAUUUCAACAGAAGAGAAGGAUUGCUCAAGGAAGCAGGAGAGAAGAGUACCCAUUCCCAGAGGUGUUCCAGAACCAUGGAGAUGUGGCUCUGAGGAACACGGUCAGUGGGCAUGGUGGGAGUGGGUUGGGGUUGGACCUGAUGAUUCUAGAGGUCCUUUCCAACCUUAAUGAUUUAUGACUAGAUGUAAGUUGUAUUUAAGCGACACAUGGAUGGAAGAGCAUAUAUUAGUGCAAAACCAAAGAAAGACAUUUCCUCCAGAUACAAAUCCAGUACUAUGAAGGCUGAAGUGGGGAUGGGGAUACCCUUUCUGCCAUUACAAGUUAUGAAGCAUCUCACGUCAACUUCCUUCUUACAUAAUACAGAGUGAUAAAUCUGCUUGACAUAAAUCACUUAUGAAGGAACACAAGCUUACUAAAUAUAUCUCUAAAUCAAGGGCAGAUUUCUUUCUCAGUAUAAGAUCAAAAGCUCAAGUUAUAUUUAAGCUCUAAUGAGAAGCAGCCUUAUUUAUUGGUGGUGGUUGGGUCAUGGGGCCAGGAAAGCUCCUGUGUUCUAAUCCUGCAGCAUAUCCAUACUUUACAGUUUUGGAGAAGUCUGUUACUCCAUUUCUCCAUCACAUAAGCAGAGAUUUUAUUAUUUAGUUACCUCAUAAUGGCCUUAAGAGAAUGUUUACAAUCAUUCUGUAUUGUUUUUAAUAAACUUCGGUCCUGAUCCUGCAGGAUCUGUAUUCUAAAUCUGAACUAUUUAGAUCUAAUCUAAAAGAAAUCAUAGAAAAAGGUGAAAAUAAAGAAAAAAGUGAUUAUUACAUUACAAUAAUACAAUUUCAAUUCUGAAACAUCAUUAUAAGAAAAUUAAUGAUGACGGGACGAAAGGAUCCUUACUUCUGAUUGGCAUAUUUCUUAGGUUGCUCCAAAAGUAAUAUUUAUUUCCAUGGAAACUGCAACAGAUGCAAUGAGCACAGUAAUAUGGUGUGAUAGAACGAAUUCUCAGCUAUCAUAUACUAUCUUGAAAAAGUAACCACCAUUGGCAACGCAUUUUUGCCAGGGAUGAACAAGAGCCUGCGUGCCACGCUAGUCAAAAUCUGCACCAGUGGAGGUGACCCACUGUCACUGUCACCACUGCUGAAAUGUACCACCCACAGCCUCACUAUGUUCACAUUCACUGGUUGGUCUCCAGAAAUGGAUGUUAAUGGGUACUGUUUUUUCUGCAUGGAGAAAUUCAGUGACACACCUUUGAUUCAUACACGCUUUCAUGUCAAGUGCUAUUUUAUCAGGCUGCCCCUCUGCUGUCAUCUCUCACACAGCAACUACAUGUAAUGGGAUAUUGGUGAGAAGGUCAAACCUCUACUGCCAUACCACCAACAUCUGUCUCUGGCUCCACAGAGCCAUGAGCGUCUCAGCAGCACACAAUGAAUAGGUAUCACUGCUGCAAGGAGGAGGAAGAGGAUACAUCUGGAAACAACUCUCUGCUCUGCAGGCUCUACUGACACCUGGUGUGCAGCUCAUCUGCAGCCUUAUGUCCAUGAUCCCUGUGCUGCACAUGCCCACAGAGUGCCUCUGCACCCCAGAGCAACAGACCUCAUGGUGAAAACACAAGCACUGGUCAGCCACAAUUUUCUCUCAUCUCCCUUCUGGUUCAAGCAAGAAGGGAGGCUCUUCAAAUUGUGCUGUGAGCAAGGAGAUGUCAGUCUUGGGGUGACUUCCUCAAAGGAUUGGUGUUGUGACGCACAAGAGGAAACAUGCAGCAGCCAAGGCAUCAAGAGGACUGGGAGGCACGUAUGGUGCAAGCCAACCGUGCAAGUGUUGUGCUCAAGCACAAUGCUUCUAAUAGCAUGUGAGCAGGUGCUAAAUCUGUGUGUUUAUUAAAAACAAACAUGCUUAUGGUAGUGCCUCUCACAUUUUAUUAGUGGGAGUCUAUCCAAGUGCCCCCAAUACUGACAUUCCACUAUUGUCUUAAAAGAUAGAAACCACAUCCUAUGGCAAAGCAUUUGUGAGCCUUUGAGGGCUUUGUAAGUUGAACAAUCUUAGGAAUCUACCCACAGUUAAAUUUUCUGGAUUCUGCACAAGGGACAGAAAUAAGAAAAUAAAAUAAAAAAGCUUCUCUUCCAAGUCUCAGCUUGAAUUUGUAGUAUUUACAUUUUGAACAGUUUGAAAAAUGCAGCACCUUUUCCCCACUGUUCAUUAAUUGUGAUCCUCAACGGCACUUCACAGUCACUUCUGAAAUAGAAAAGAAAGUAAAGCUCAGACUGAAGAGUCCUUGAAUUGCUACAACCUACAUAAACUCAGCUCUUCAGCUCCUAUCUGCAAAGCCUCAGUGACAUAAAAUAGAAGAGACCUGACUAAAUAAGGGAUUCUGAUUUUCAGCAUGGUAAGGUCUUCUGAAAUAAAUUAUAUCCAAUUCUUAAGAACAGUGGCAGAGAUAAUGUCUGCAUAUCUAGAUUCAGAAGUCUCAAGAUGAGCUACAAUAUCUGACUUUGUUAAGUAAAUCAGCAAAGAUGACAGUACUCAGAAAAAGUUUGUUAAAGAAAGCAUGUCACUCACAUCUUUGUUAUUGACUCUCUUCACCUAUUUAAGAUUGGAGCACAAUAUAUUUAAAAUAAACCUUCCG